rnacentral:tRNA from 1 species
CAGGGAGACAACACAAUGAUUUUGAUGCCUGAGUGCUUUUAUUCUUAGGCCGAAAUCCUGUCACCUUAGGUCGAUCGGUACCUCAGCAUUAAGAGCAAUGAUUGAUGAGCAAUCAUCAAAAGAUUGAAGGAGAUGUUCAGUUCCUAAACUUUGUCUAGGUCACACCCCAAAAGGGAUGAGACUCCUGGGCCAUUAGCUCAGGUGGUUAGAGCGCACCCCUGAUAAGGGUGAGGUCCCUGGUUCAAGUCCAGGAUGGCCCAUUCGGUGUUGGGGGUUUAGCUCAGUUGGUAGAGCGCCUGCUUUGCAAGCAGGAUGUCAGGAGUUCGAGUCUCCUAACCUCCACUGACCGAACUUGAUUCCCAUCUCCAAAUAUUUGGAGUUGAGCUCGAUUGGGUUGUGAUUUAGAUGUGUCCGCUGGAUGACCCCAGCUUCCUGUCAUUCCAAGUUUUAGGUGUAGAGCCUUGAAUUUGGUUGAUAAGAUGCUGGGCUCAGAUCAAGUGAUCAAGCAAUUGAUGAUUUGAUUUGAAGUUCUAGCAGAACCUUGACAACUGCAUAGGUGAGUCUGGAAAAAAACAAAGCAUCUUACAGAUGCAUUGUUUUGAAUCUGAUCUUCUGAAAGGGAGAUUAGAUCCAGGACAAUGAAAAUUCUUUUGAGCAAGAGCCGAGACUCUUGAGCGUUCUUUGAUUCGUGUCGAGCGAAUCAGAGUUUGAUCUUGUUUUAGGAGUCAGCAAAAGUUGAUGAUUAAAACUUGAGAAUCUGCUUUCAACGGCGGUAAGCGUUCAGGAGGUUAAUU